GCGAACGCUGGCGGCAGGCUUAACACAUGCAAGUCGAACGGGCGUAGCAAUACGUCAGUGGCAGACGGGUGAGUAACGCGUGGGAACGUACCUUUUGGUUCGGAACAACACAGGGAAACUUGUGCUAAUACCGGAUAAGCCCUUACGGGGAAAGAUUUAUCGCCGAAAGAUCGGCCCGCGUCUGAUUAGCUAGUUGGUGAGGUAAGAGCUCACCAAGGCGACGAUCAGUAGCUG
rnacentral:rRNA from 1 species